UGCUGGGGAAGGUCUGAGGGAGUGCCGUAGACAGUCCUCCGCGAGGGAGGAGGGUGGAAACACCCUCAGCUGGUAACCAGAAAUGUACCCCCCUUGCCCUUGAGGUUAGGUAGGGGAUGAGACUUGCCAGCGGCACAGCAAGCCUGCAGUCGAAUCAGCAGUCCGCUCAGCUACUCGUAGUUCAGCGGAACUCAAUUCAGACUACUCCA
rnacentral:ribozyme from 1 species